CUGAUCCCCAGAGCAGUGAGGAGAUCAAUAGAGGAGGGAGAAACCGCUGAGGGCGUCUAGUGGUCAGGAGAGAGAGAGGUGAUGGCAUGCAGCAAAGGUCCCAGGAUGGACUCGAACCCAGGCCACUGCGCAUUAUCUCUGCCUCCCACUGAUCUAACAAUGGUCUCCAGAACGUCUCAUGCUGUCACUUUGCCACUUUUGGAUACGGCUCUAAUGAAACAACUCCAGACUCAGGCACCAGUGCCAACACAUGAAAUCAGCCACAAGGAUCACCUUGUACCCGGAAACUUUUACAGUGAACUCAUAAAUUGUGUCCUAGACGUUUUUAUAAAUAACCAU